rnacentral:rRNA from 1 species
AUUGAACGCUGGCGGCAGGCCUAACACAUGCAAGUCGAGCGAGUGGCGGACGGGUGAGUAAUGUCUGGGAAACUGCCUGAUGAAGGGGGGUAACUACUGGCAACGGUAGCUAAUCCCGCAUACCAUUGGAUGUGCCCGGAUGGGAUUAGCUAGUUGGUGUGGUAACGGCUCACCUAGCCGACGAUCCCUAGCUGGUCUGAGAGGAUGACCAGCCACACUGGAACUGAGACACGGUCCAGACUCCUACGGGAGGCAGCAGUGGGGAAUAUUGCACAAUGGGCGCAAGCCUGAUGCAGCCAUGCCGCGUGAGUGAUGAAGGCCUUCGGGUUGUAAAGCACUUUCAGCGGGGAAGCGUUACCCGAAGAAGAAGCCCCGGCUAACUCCGUGCCAGCAGCCGCGGUAAUAC